rnacentral:rRNA from 1 species
GACGAACGCUGGCGGCGUGCUUAACACAUGCAAGUCGAACGGAAAGGCCCUGCUUUUGUGGGGUGCUCGAGUGGCGAACGGGUGAGUAACACGUGUGUAACCUGCCCUUGACUUUGGGAUAACUUCAGGAAACUGGGGCUAAUACCGGAUAGGAUCUCCUUCUGCAUGGGGGGGGUUGGAAAGUUUCGGCGGUUGGGGAUGGACUCGCGGCUUAUCAGCUUGUUGGUGGGGUAGUGGCUUACCAAGGCUUUGACGGGUAGCCGGCCUGAGAGGGUGACCGGCCACAUUGGGACUGAGAUACGGCCCAGACUCCUACGGGAGGAAGCAGUGGGGAAUAUUGCACAAUGGGCGGAAGCCUGAUGCAGCAACGCCGCGUGCGGGAUGACGGCUUUCGGGUUGUAAACCGAUUUCGCCUGUGACGAAGCGUGAGUGACGGUAAUGGGUAAAGAAGCACCGGCUAACUACGUG